rnacentral:rRNA from 1 species
UGCCUUGAAGUGGGGGAUAACAGUUGGAAACGACUGCUAACACCGCAUAUUGCCGGGAUGUCGGGAGACGACCUGGUGAAAAUUCUGGUGCUUCAAGAGGGGCCUGCGGCCGAUUAGCUAGUUGGCGGGGUAAGAGCCCACCAAGGCGACGAUCGGUAGCUGGUCUGAGAGGACGAUCAGCCACACGGGAACUGAGACACGGUCCCGACUCCUACGGGGGGCAGCAGUGAGGAAUAUUGGGCAAUGGGCGCAAGCCUGACCCAGCAACGCCGCGUGGAGGAAGACGGCCUUCGGGUUGUAAACUCCUUUUACGGGGGAAGAGGAAGGACGGUACCCCGAGAAUAAGUCACGGCUAACUACGUGCCAGCAGCCGCGGUAAUACGUAGGUGACAAGCGUUAUCCGGAAUUACUGGGCGUAAAGCGCGUGUAGGCGGGGAUGCAAGUCUGAUGUGAAAGCCCCGGGCUUAACCUGGGAAGUGCAUUGGAAACGGUAUCUCUUGAGUACUGGAGAGGAAGGGGGAAUUCCCGGUGUAGAGGUGAAGUUCGUAGAGAUCGGGAGGAAUACCAGUGGCGUAGGCGCCUUUCUGGACGGUUACUGACGCUGAGACGCGAAAGCGUGGGGAGCAAACAGGAUUAGAUACCCUGGUAGUCCACGCUGUAAACGAUGAUCACUAGGUGUAGCGGGUACUCAUUC